rnacentral:rRNA from 2 species
AACGGAGGCGCUCAAAGGUUCCCUCAGAAUGGUUGGAAAUCAUUCAUAGAGUGUAAAGGCAUAAGGGAGCUUGACUGCGAGACCUACAAGUCGAGCAGGGUCGACAGACGGACUUAGUGAUCCGGUGGUUCCGCAUGGAAGGGCCAUCGCUCAACGGAUAAAAGCUACCCCGGGGAUAACAGGCUUAUCUCCCCCAAGAGUUCACAUCGACGGGGAGGUUUGGCACCUCGAUGUCGGCUCAUCGCAUCCUGGGGCUGUAGUCGGUCCCAAGGGUUGGGCUGUUCGCCCAUUAAAGCGGUACGCGAGCUGGGUUCAGAACGUCGUGAGACAGUUCGGUCCCUAUCCGUCGUGGGCGUAGGAAAUUUGAGAGGAGCUGUCCUUAGUACGAGAGGACCGGGAUGGACAUACCUCUGGUGUACCAGUUGUCGUGCCAACGGCAUAGCUGGGUAGCUAUGUGUGGACGGGAUAAGUGCUGAAAGCAUCUAAGCAUGAAGCCCCCCUCAAGAUGAGAUUUCCCAACUUCGGUUAUAAGAUCCCUCAAAGAUGAU